UGGUGCAGGAAGGUAAGGGUAAGGGUGUAAGGUGCGUAAGAGUGGAAGGGUAGAGGUUAGGGUAGCUUAAAGGGCAAGGGUAUAAGGAGAGGUAAGGUUAGUUUAGGGUGUAAGGGUUAGGUUAGGUUAGGUUAGGGUGGAAGGGUGGAGGUUAGGUUAGGUUAGGGUGGAAGGGUGGAGGUUAGGUUAGGUUAGGGUGGAAGGGUAGAGGUUAGGUUAGGUUAGGGUGGAAGGGUAGAGGUUAGGUUAGGUUAGGGUGGAAGGGUAGAGGUUAGGUUAGGUUAGGGUGGAAGGGUUGAGGUUAGGUUAGGUUAGGGUGGAAGGGUUGAGGUUAGGUUAGGUUAGGGUGGAAGGGUUGAGGUUAGGUUAGGUUAGGGUGGAAGGGUUGAGGUUAGGUUAGGUUAGGGUGUUAGGGUAGAGGUUAGGUUAGGUUAGGGUGUUAGGGUAGAGGUUAGGUUAGGUUAGGGUGGAAGGGUUGAGGUUAGGUUAGGUUAGGGUGUUAGGGUAGAGGUUAGGUUAGGUUAGGGUGGAAGGGUUGAGGUUAGGUUAGGUUAGGGUGUUAGGGUAGAGGUUAGGUUAGGUUAGGGUGGAAGGGUUGAGGUUAGGUUAGGUUAGGGUGGAAGGGUAGAGGUUAGGUUAGGUUAGGGUGUUAGGGUAGAGGUUAGGUUAGGUUAGGGUGGAAGGGUAGAGGUUAGGUUAGGUUAGGGUGUUAGGGUAGAGGUUAGGUUAGGUUAGGGUGGAAGGGUUGAGGUUAGGUUAGGUUAGGGUGGAAGGGUUGAGGUUAGGUUAGGUUAGGGUGGAAGGGUAGAGGUUAGGUUAGGUUAGGGUGGAAGGGUAGAGGUUAGGUUAGGUUAGGGUGGAAGGGUAGAGGUUAGGUUAGGUUAGGGUGGAAGGGUUGAGGUUAGGUUAGGUUAGGGUGGAAGGGUUGAGGUUAGGUUAGGUUAGGGUGGAAGGGUUGAGGUUAGGUUAGGUUAGGGUGGAAGGGUAGAGGUUAGGUUAGGUUAGGGUGGAAGGGUUGAGGUUAGGUUAGGUUAGGGUGGAAGGGUAGAGGUUAGGUUAGGUUAGGGUGGAAGGGUAGAGGUUAGGUUAGGUUAGGGUGUUAGGGUAGAGGUUAGGUUAGGUUAGGGUGGAAGGGCAGAGGUUAGGUUAGGUUAGGGUGUUUGGGUAGAGGUUAGGUUAGGUUAGGGUGGAAGGGUUGAGGUUAGGUUAGGUUAGGGUGGAAGGGUUGAGGUUAGGUUAGGUUAGGGUGGAAGGGUAGAGGUUAGGUUAGGUUAGGGUGUUAGGGUGGAAGGGUUGAGGUUAGGUCAGGGUGUUAGGGUAGACGUUAGGUAUGGUUAGGGUGUUAGAGUAGAGGUUAGGUUAGGUUAGGGUGGAAGGGCAGAGGUUAGGUUCCUUGGUUGAUGCAAUAGAAUGGUAAUGACUUUUUUUUUUUACAGUAAACGAAGCAACUCAAAGGCAAACGUAAAUGAGAACAAGAAAGCCAGCUGACCUCUGUCCCUAUAAAAGAAUGCAUAAAUGAGUGGCCAAAAAAGCGGUCUGUUUGUAAUAAGUUGAAGGUGAUGUGUGUGGUAAAGGUCCUAGCUUCGAAAUCAGUUGUAGAAGAGAAAAGGCGUAGAAGAGAAAAGUCAUCGAAAUUAUGUGUAGAAGGGAAAAUGCAUCGAAAUCAUGUGUAGAAGAGAAGGCAUAAAAAUUAUAUGUAAAAGAGAAAAUCAUCGAAAUUGUGUAGAAGAGAAAAUCAUCGAAAUUAUGUGUAGAAAAGAAGGCAUCAAAAUUAUAUGUACAAGAGAAAAUCAUCGAAAUUAUGUGUAGAAGAGAAAAUCAUCGAAAUUAUGUGUAGAAGAGAAGGCAUCAAAAUUAUAUGUACAAGAGAAAAUGCAUCGAAAUUAUGUGUAGAAGAGAAAAUCAUCGAAAUUAUGUGUAGAAGAGAAAAUGCAUCGAAAUUAUGUGUAGAAGAGAAAAUGCAUCGAAAUUGUGUAGAAAAG